rnacentral:rRNA from 1 species
GACGAACGCUGGCGGCAUGCCUAACACAUGCAAGUCGAACGGAGAUUAUUUCGGUAAUCCUAGUGGCGAACGGGUGAGUAACGCGUGGGCAACCUACCCUCUUGAUGGGGACAACAUCCCGAAAGGGGUGCUAAUACCGAAUGUGACAGCAAUCUCGCAUGAGGCUGCUGUGCACGAUGGCCUCUAGUUAUAAGCUAUCGCUAGAGGAUGGGCCUGCGUCUGAUUAGCAAGUUGGUGGGGUAACGGCCUACCAAGGCGAUGAUCAGUAGCCGGUCUGAGAGGAUGAACGGCCACAUUGGGACUGAGACACGGCCCAGACUCCUACGGGAGGCAGCAGUGGGGAAUCUUCCGCAAUGGGCGAAAGCCUGACGGAGCAAUGCCGCGUGAGUGAUGAAGGAAUUCGUUCCGUAAAGCUCUUUUGUUUAUGACGAAUGUGCAGAUUGUGAACAAUGAUUUGUAAUGACGGUAGUAAACGAAUAAGCCACGGCUAACUACGUGCCAGCCGCCGCCGUAAAAC